rnacentral:rRNA from 1 species
GACGAACGCUGGCGGCGUGCUUAACACACGCAAGUCGAACGGAAAGGCCCUGCUUUUGUGGGGUGCUCGAGUGGCGAACGGGUGAGUAACACGUGAGUAACCUGCCCUUGACUUUGGGAUAACUUCAGGAAACUGGGGCUAAUACCGGAUAGGAGCUCCUGCUGCAUGGUGGGGGUUGGAAAGUUUCGGCGGUUGGGGAUGGACUCGCGGCUUAUCAGCUUGUUGGUGGGGUAGUGGCUUACCAAGGCUUUGACGGGUAGCCGGCCUGAGAGGGUGACCGGCCACAUUGGGACUGAGAUACGGCCCAGACUCCUACGGGAGGCAGCGGUGGGGAAUAUUGCACAAUGGGCGGAAGCCUGAUGCAGCAACGCCGCGUGCGGGAUGACGGCCUUCGGGUUGUAAACCGCUUUCGCCUGUGACGAAGCGUGAGUGACGGUAAUGGGUAAAGAAGCACCGGCUAACUACGU